AUCAUGUAACCUCCGUUUGAAAAUACUUGUCAUCAUAAUGGAUAAAAGAGGAUGUAUCUAGAUGUAUUUUAGUUCUAAAUACAUAUCUUUUUAUCCAUUUUGAUGACAAAUAUUUUCGGACGGAGGGAGUAUCUG
rfam:Triticum aestivum genome assembly, contig: Triticum_aestivum_CS42_TGACv1_scaffold_393570_5AS